GAACGCACAUUGCGCCCUUUGGUAUUCCGAAGGGCAUGCCUGUUCGAGCGUCAUUAUCACCCCUCAAGCCCUCGGCUUGGUGUUGGACGGCUUGGUGGAGACCCCCUUUGCGGGCUUCUACCCCUCCCAAAGACAAUGACGGCGGCCUCGUUGGACCCCCGGUACACUGAGUUCUUCACGGGACACGUAUCGGACACAUGGGUUCACGGGACACGGUCUGCCUCCCCUCAGGGAGAAUCUUUUUUUAUCAAGGUUGACCUCGGAUCAGGUAGGGAUACCCGCUGAACUUA
rnacentral:misc_RNA from 1 species